rnacentral:rRNA from 1 species
UACGUAGGGUCCGAGCGUUGUCCGGAAUCACUGGGCGUAAAGGGCGCGUAGGUGGCGCGGGCAGUCAACGGUGAAAGUUCGGGGCUCAACCCUGAAUCGGCCGUCGAUACUCCCGGGCUUGAGCACUGUAGAGGCAGAUGGAAUUCCGGGUGUAGCGGUGGAAUGCGUAGAGAUCGGAAAGAACACCAACGGCGAAAGCACUCUGCUGGGCCGACACUGACACUGAGAGACGAAAGCUAGGAGAGCGAAUGGG